UUGGAGGGCAAGUCUGGUGCCAGCAGCCGCGGUAAUUCCAGCUCCAAUAGCGUAUAUUAAAGUUGUUGCAGUUAAAAAGCUCGUAGUUGAAUUUCGGGAUCAAUACGUCGGUCGUGCUUUUUUGGUACGCACUGGCGUCAUUGGUUUCUCCUUUCUGACGAACCAUGAUGUCAUUAAUUUGGUGUUAUGGGGAGUUAGGACUGUUACUUUGAAAAAAUUAGAGUGUUUAAAGCAGGCAUUAGCUUGAAUACAUUAGCAUGGAAUAAUGAAAUAGGACGUUCGAUCCUAUUUUGUUGGUUUCUAGGAUCAACGUAAUGAUUAAUAGGGAUAGUUGGGGGCAUUAGUAUUCAAUUGUCAGAGGUGAAAUUCUUGGAUUUAUUGAAGACUAACUACUGCGAAAGCAUUUGCCAAGGAUGUUUUCAUUAAUCAAGAACGAAAGUUAGGGGAUCGAAGACGAUCAGAUACCGUCGUAGUCUUAACCAUAAACUAUGCCGACUAGGGAUCGGAGGAUGUUAAUUUUUUAAUGACUCAUUCGGCGCCUUACGGGAAAC
rnacentral:rRNA from 1 species